UUGAUUUUUUUGUGUGUUUAUUUCCUCAUUUUAGUAAGACCAUCAGGCCUUUUUGUAACCUUUGUCACAAGUCUUAAGUUACAAGUAUUUUGUAGGUAUGUGUUUUGUGCCCUGUUUCAAGUUAAGUGCCAAGUUCAAGAGGAUCAUGACAGUUGGUUUGCUGUUGAAUUUCUUCUCAGAGCUGGAUGGUCUUUCAACAACACUGCUCCGGGUCUUCAGCAAGAAAGGUGCUUCUCAUGCAAGGAAGAUACAGAGGAUCCUGGUGCCCAUGACUCAGGUAAAACAUGCACACUGCCAUGCAUCACAGUAAUGCUAAAAUUUCAAGAUCUAAUGUAAUGGGGAGAAGUAGGGUGUCUUGGAUCAUAUUGCAUUUCUCCCACUAAUUUCAAUCCUUCAGCCAGUUUUGAACUCAUUGUCUUCACCUCAGUUCUAACUACAGCUGGCUUUACACACAGCAGUCCUGGGCAAUGAUAUAACAGUCUUUUGCAGACUGACAACAUUGAUGUGAAGAGGGAGUGCAUGCUGAGGAGCUGACGGUCUACCUGAAUGAAGAGCCAGACAAAGUGGAUGUUGAUCUGGACGGUCCAGCUGAAACGUAUUGUCUUCGUGUGCGUGUGAUCGGCAGAGAGUCCUCAACGACAUUGGUAACGUACCUGUGGCCAUUGCAGUGUUUGUUUUGGUUUAUGCUCUUAAUCUCUGUUACCUUCCAGAAUGGAAGUACACUUUCAAAUUUCUGUUUCAUUCUAACCGUCUGUUUCAUCAGUUUUUGCACUGCUUUUAAAUGUACACUGUGUAAGAUUCUUAGUUGUUUAUUUCCAGAAUUCAUGCUACCCAUUCACUAAUGUUACCUUUUUCAUGAAUACUUAGCACCACCAUUAGGGUGCAUCAGUUGCCCCCUAUGAAAAGAUAUGGCCUUGGCCCUAUAGUAAAAAUGUUCUACACCCAGUAAAAACACACUGUGUAAAAUAUUUUGAAAUUUGGAUGAAGUCUACCGGGGCCACCAGC